rnacentral:lncRNA from 1 species
AUCACUCCGACCCCCCCACCUCCGCCCAGAUCCCGAGAAAAAGAAAGCCCUAGGGUGGCAGCCAGGGUAGUGGUCCCAGUGCGAUCCAGAGAGAGGGUCCUUACCUCGAUGGGGCUGACCGGCGUGGAAGGCAGGGGCUGCAGGUACUCGGGGUGCAAAAUGUGGCCAGUUCGUGCCGUCAGCAUCUUCAGCACCUUGAUUGGCAGGCGGUUGGCCUGGCGCAGGGGGUCAGAGGGGGGCACGGCGUGCACAAAAGGCUUGGUGCUGCCGGCCGGGGACGAGCCUGGGCCGGGGCCGGAGCUAUUUCCAGAGAGCGCGCUGGUCCAGGCAGGGUCUGCACCGCCGCCUCCGCCUCCGCCGCCGCCGCCGCCGCUGUGCUUACUGCUUCUUAGGGCAGAAAGCGAGGGCGCUGUGCUCAUGACCCACCCGCGCGCAUGGGAGCAGCGGGGGGGAGGGCUCCGGGAGGCGCGGGGCGGGCUCGGGGCUGCGCGCUCGCCCCGGGAGCAGGAGCAGCGGGAGGAGGAGGAGCUGGCGCGGCGGCCACGGGCGCCCAGCGCGCCUUCUCGGCGCCUGGAGCCAGACGCGAGUAAUCCUGGGUGGCCCGCAGCGGAGCCGUGGCCGGGCUAG